ensembl:lncRNA
AUGACUGAAAACGAUGACUGUGAUACUGAUAUGGACAGAACAUUCAUGGAGGCCACUGGUUUUCCCAGAGGGAGGGGUGCUUGGCUCGCUGGAGCUUCUGGGAAUGAUGUUUUCAGUGAAGGUGGCAGAAGGGGGGUGGGUCAGUCAAGGUCUCACAAUGACCACAGUGGGGGUCGUGGUUUACAUUUAACAACAGAUAAUUCUCCUGUUGGUCGUGCCACAGCUGAGUUCCCUUGUACUUCGACACCUAAUACUGAGAGGGAUGCUCUUAGCCACCUCACAGAUAUGAUGGGCCAGUUAGGUACGCAGAUUGGAGAAUCAAUCGUCUCCAGGCUGCUUUCAGCAGGCUUAGUGAAUGCAAGCAAUAACUGCCAGAGCGAUUCACUAGACCACCACACUCGACCAAAGAUGAGACCAGAACAGUCUAUGACUAUGUUGGUACCACAAGUGUCAGUACAUGUGGGGUCAGACCAUGACAUGUUUCGUGGUGACAGAUCUGACAAGUAUUGUGUUAAAGAGUGGGUUGAUCGAACCAAAGCUUGUAUAAGAAAGCAAAAAUGUCCCAUCUCAGAACAAGCUGAGGAAAUUAUGAGCAGGCUUGCAGGAAAAGCAAAAGAUGUCGUUAAAAUCAGUCUGCGUAGCGAUCAUACGCUUGAUGUAAAGCAGAAUCCUGAGCUGAUUUAUAAUAUUCUGUUACAGUAUUUCAGUGAGACCUCAUCUUGCCUACCUCUUGCCGAUUUCUAUGCUACUCUUCCCAGAGUCGGAGAGAAUCCAGUAGACUAUUGGAUUCGGAUCAACAAGGCUGCUGAUCUGGCAAAUGAUGGCCUUCAUAGACAAGGAAAGCAGCUGGCUGAUAUGAGUGAUGAGGUAACACGGAUGUUCAUCAAGCACUGUCCAGACCCAGGUUUGACUAGUGUAUUCAAAUGUAAGCCUAUUCAUGAGUGGAGAGCUAAAGACAUACAGAGCAGAACUGAUGACUAUCAAAGAGAAUACAUGGGUCGUGCUGGUGCGUAUGUAAAGAGCCACACUUCAGCUGUGCUUAAUAAGGAACAUACUGAGCAUAAUCACCUCAUCAGCUUUUCGCAGUCUGCUAUUCAGGAUGCAUCAAGUUUCCCAUUGGCGCAAAAUACAUUUAAGCAGCCAGAACUCUCAGCAGAGCUCAGUACUGUUCAAUGUCGGUCAUGUUCUGCUCCAAACCUGCCUGUAGUCCAAACCAUGACACAGAAUACACAGCAGCCUGAAAGUCAAGUGCUUUCACGUAUGAUGGAGAUGUUAGAGCAGUUGAUGGAUAGAGUUCAGUCACGUAAUGUUCCCACUCACAGAGGCAACUCAAGGUUGCAGCGACGUUAUGCCAGAAAUACGUGUCGUGUGUGUCAUGACAACAAGCACAGCACGGUGACGCACUGCAUAACUGAUAAGUUGUGUUUCGAAUGUUUCUCACCCGGACAUGCAAAACGUGAUUGUCCAAAACUUUCCACUGUACAGGACGAUAUGGAGGGAAACUAG